GAUGAACGCUGGCGGCGUGCUUAACACAUGCAAGUCGAACGAUUAAGCCCAGCUUGCUGGGUGGUUUAGUGGCGAACGGGUGAGUAACACGUGAGUAACCUGCCCUUAACUCUGGGAUAAGCCUGGGAAACUGGGUCUAAUACCGGAUAGGAGCGUCCACCGCAUGGUGGGUGUUGGAAAGAUUUAUCGGUUUUGGAUGUACUCGGGGCCUAUCAUCUGGUUGGUGAGGUAAUGGUUCACCAAGGAGAGGACGGGUAGCCGGCCUGAGAGGGUGACCGGCCACACUGGGACUGAGGCACGGCCCAGGCUCCUUCGGGAAGCAGCAGUGGGGAAUAUUGCACAAUGGGCGCAGGCCUGAUGCAGCGACGCCGCGUGGGGGAGGACGGCCUUCGGGUUGGAAACCUCUUUCGGUAGGGAAGAAGCGAAAGUGACGGUACCUGCAGAAGAAGCACCGGCUAACUACGU
rnacentral:rRNA from 1 species